UUCCCAAGCAGUGCAGAAAAAUUCCUUUCUAGUUGGAUCAAGCCUUGUUUUUCUCGCCCGCUGUCCAGCGUCUGAGACGCGUGGGGUGGGAUUGGAUUUUGUUUUGUUUUGGUUUUUGCCCUAGUCCAGAAGCAGGGUGGCAGCGAAGAGGUGAGGGAGGCUCGGGCCAAAGCGUUCAGCUCAGGUUUUCCUCCACCUUUCCCUUCUUCCCUCUCCAGCACCCCCAGUCCACGAGGAGACACGGCUUGGGGGGUUGGGGAGAAGGGGUCGUCCCUUUCAGUCCCUCCUGCAAGCGCUCCCUCCCUUCUCCAGUCCCCUCCUCCGUCCCCUCCUCCUUCCCUCCCUCAACCCUCCCUCCCUUCCCCCGGCCGGCCGUCCCUCCUCCCUCCCAUCCUCCCCCUUCCGUUUCUGUUGGUGGAGGGAGGCGGAAGGAGGAGGGCUGGGAUCUCGGGCCAGGGACGGGAAUUUCAGCCGCCGCUGGGAGGACAGCGAGCGGGGGACCGCCCCAGCUGGGACGCCGGGCGCUAGGUUGGGCCUCGCCCGCCCCAUUCGGACCUAGCUGAGCCCUCGGGCGCGGCGGCGCUUUUUCCGGCUCCCUUUGAAGGGACGCGAAUCUCGGACUCGGCGGCGGCGGCGCGGAGGAGGAGGAGGAAGAGGAGGAGGAGCCGGGAGCGCGGGGUGGCGGCCGGCUAGAAGCUCCGAAUCCCGGCAGCCAGAGAGAAGAAGGGAAGUGUGCGGCUCGCGGGGAGGGAGCUGCGGGGCGCGCCCCAAUGUCAGCGGACGAGCGGAGCGGGGGAGGCGCAGGCGGCGGCCGCGGCUUCGUGGAUGGAAUUUGGACUUGGGCAGGCCCAUCCCUGGCUCGUGCCCUGGCUCCGGCCAGCGCCGCCCGCUAACACUCCCCACACUCAGCGAGGAGGAGGAGGAGGAGGAGGCGACGACGGCGGCGGCGUCGCGAGCACCCCCUGCCUUGAGAAGCCGGGCGCCCUUCCCCAGUGCGGAACCCCUGAGAGGCUCUGCUGCUGAGCUCGUCCAGGGCGCAUCGCGACCGGGCUCGCUCUAGCGACUACCUUGAUUUUAAACGGGACUGGUCCCCGGCUGCGGGUUGGAAGCUCAGGCCGGAGCCCCGGCCAGCGGCCCAGGCCCGGCCCGGGGCGUUACGG
rnacentral:lncRNA from 1 species